AGAGUUUGAUCAUGGCUCAGGAUGAACGCUGGCGGCGUGCCUAAUACAUGCAAGUCGAGCGAACCACUUCGGUGGUGAGCGGCGAACGGGUGAGUACACGUAGGUUAUCUGCCCAUCAGACGGGGACAACGAUUGGAAACGAUCGCUAAUACCGGAUAGGACGAAAGUUUAAAGGUGCUUCGGCACCACUGAUGGAUGAGCCUGCGGCGCAUUAGCUAGUUGGUAGGGUAAAGGCCUACCAAGGCGACGAUGCGUAGCCGACCUGAGAGGGUGAACGGCCACACUGGGACUGAGACACGGCCCAGACUCCUACGGGAGGCAGCAGUAGGGAAUCUUCGGCAAUGGGCGAAAGCCUGACCGAGCAACGCCGCGUGAAUGAUGAAGGCCUUCGGGUUGUAAAAUUCUGUUAUAAGGGAAGAAUGGCUCUAGUAGGAAAUGGCUAGAGUGUGACGGUACCUUAUGAGAAAGCCACGGCUAACUACGUG
rnacentral:rRNA from 1 species